AUGGCAACGCAACGGGUUCCCCAUUUACCCUUGCGCAGCCCCCCGUCCUCUCGGCGCCCCUUGGCGCCCCCACCGUGAAUCCCGCUGGGGGUCCGCUCCCCUGGGCCCCGCUGCCGUCCCGCGUGCGGGUAGCCAACAGACAGCGAAGAAAGGCGCUGGAGAGCUUGAGGGGGGCAAGACGAGAGACAGCUGGCCAAGCGCAAGAGAGAUGGGGAGAGGAAGUAUGGGGGGGGGAGCCGUGUUAGUCUGUAGCCACAAAAACAACAAGGAGUCCGGUGGCUCCUUAAAGACUAACAGAUUUAUUUGGGCAUAAGCUUUUGUGGGUAAAAAAACCCCCACUUCUUCAGCUGCAUGGCGAGAAAGAUGCUGGGGGAGAAAGCAAGACACAGGAGCCAGUCACAGAGCCUUGCAGCGAGUUGAAAUGGCACAAAGUGCAAAUGACAAGGACAAGCACGUGUCUAGUGUGCUGAGGGACUGACUGGAUACAGAAACUAGCCCAGCAGAAACAUCCUGCUAUGAGGAACUGUGCACUGCCUAAUGAUGCUCCAGGACCCUGUCAAUGUGUUCUUGGGAGAGAGGAGUUUAUGUUAGAGACGUGCAAACAAUUCCCAGGGAAUACUGGAUUUGCUCUGCUUGUGAAACAUUCAGAUUGUGAAAUUUCCAGGUUACUUGGUUCUCUGAUAUUGUUCACAAAGUUUUGCCAUGGAUGUCAAUGGGAGUUUUGCCAUUCACUUCAAUGGAGACAGGAUAUCACGCCAGCAGUUUUCGGCUAACUUGUUUUUGGUUUUGGCUGAAACAAAACUGAAUGUUUUUCCAGUCUUCAACAACCAAAACACUUUUGUUUUUCUGUUUUUUGUUGUUGUUUCCCCUUUGUCCUUCCUUUAACCAUCCCUUGUUUCCACUAACAAAGAAAGAAAGAAAGAGCCCCCAAACUGAAAAAUA